UACGUAGGCAGCAAGCGUUGUUCGGAGUUACUGGGCGUAAAGGGUGCGUAGGCGGCCCUGUAAGUAUGGUGUGAAAUCUCCCGGCUUAACUGGGAGGGUGCGCUAUAGACUGCGGGGCCCGAGUGUGGGAGAGGAAAGUGGAAUUCCUGGUGUAGCGGUGAAAUGCGUAGAUAUCAGGAGGAACACCGGUGGUGUAAACCGGCUUUCUGGACCAUAAACUGACG
rnacentral:rRNA from 1 species